AUGUUGUGACGAUGACACUUUCUUAACAAUUCUUUAAACCUCUCUCAUGUGUCAUACAAUGAUUUCCCAUCAGUCUGGAAGAAGUUAUUGAUCUCUCCUCUCAACCU